rnacentral:rRNA from 1 species
GAUGAACGCUGGCGGCGUGCUUAAUACAUGCAAGUCGAGCGGACAGACGAGGAGCUUGCUCCUCUCACGUUAGCGGCGGGCGUGUGAGUAACACGUGGAUACCCUCCCUAUAAGUCUGGUAUAACUUCGGGAAACCGGAUCUAAUACCGGAUAAUAUAUUGAACCGCAUGGUUCAUUAGUGAAAGACGGUUUUGCUGUCACUUCUAGCUGGUUCCCGGCCGCAUUAGCUAGUUGGUAAGUUAACGGCUUACCACGGCGACGAUGCGUAGCCGACCUGAGAGGGGGAUCGGCCACACUGGAACUGAGACACGGUCAAGACUACUACGGGAGGCAGCAGUAGGGAAUGUUCGGCAAUGGGCGAAAGCCUGACGGAGCAACGCCGCGUGAGUGAUGAAGGUCUUCGGUUCGUAAAACUCUGUUAUUGGGGAAGAACAGAUGUGUAAGUAAACAUGGACGGCUUGACGGUACCUAAUCAGGAAGCAACGGCUAACUACGUG